UACAGGGGGUGCAACCGUUGCUCGGAAUUAUUGGGCGUAAAGCGCGCGUAGGCGGCUACCUAAGUCGGAUGUGAAAGCCCCUGGCUUAACCGGGGAAGUGCACCCGAAACUGGGUAGCUAGAGUGCAAAAGAGGGUCGCGGAAUUCCCGGUGUAGAGGUGAAAUUCGUAGAUAUCGGGAGGAACACCGGUGGCGAAGGCGGCGACCUGGGUUGACACUGACGCUGAGGCGCGAAAGCGUGGGGAGCAAACAGG
rnacentral:rRNA from 1 species